GAAGCUUUCGCUGUGGUAAGUUCCUCUCCGUCCGCUCUCACAGAGCAUGAGUUUAAAACAUAUUUGAAAAUCCUCAUUGAAGCUAAUAUGACAGUGCACUAACUGCAUGAACUGCCCAUACGGUAGUACUUGAGUAGAUUUCAGGUUUAUGACCGUGUUUUGCAGUUAAUAGAUUAGACGGUAAGAAAAAUGGACACGUGGAGCUAGCGGCUAACAGCUAGAGGAGGCUGUCGUGUCUAAUAAUUUUGAAACUUCUCUCAAUAGUUUGGGCGGAAUCCUGUUGCUGAAACCCAUGGUUAUUCAUGUCCCAUGUUAUUGCAGGGGAAUAAAUCACGCCUGAGCUCUACCCACUUCGAGUCCAGAGAGUUUUAUUCACACAGCGCUGGAAAGAGAAGCUGACCAGGGGUUACAUUGGUGCCGUGAGCCGUCAAUCGAGUGUUUGGACGGUGGACUCCUCUCAGCAACGUGGGCCAGUUUCAGCGCUGCACCGGAAGUCUGCUACUGGUAAACGGGCUACCCCCUAAGCCUAUCGUUAGUAGCAAUGAAGCUUUCGCUGUGUUUGGGCGGAAUCCUGUUGCUGAAACCCAUGGUUAUUCAUGUCCCAUGUUAUUGC
ensembl:lncRNA